AGAAGUGGGCCUGUUGGAUGCCACUACCAGAAGAAGGAUAUAACAUUGCAACGUCCCUUCCAGACAAAGAAAAGAGCCUGUGUGAAGACAGCAUUGUUGGAAAACAACAAACGUUUGUGUUUUUUUUUUAUUUGUUUGUUUUGUGUGGACAUCUUUUUUUAUUUUUAAAAAACUUUAAUUUUAAGUUUGGGGUCUAAUGCAAGUUUGCUGCCUAGAUAAACUUGUGUUACGGGGGUUUGUUGUACAGAUUAUUUCAUCACCCAGGUAUUAAGCCUAGUACACAUUAGUUAUUUUUUCCUGAUCCUCUCCCUCCUCCCAUCCUCCACCUUCCAAACGGCCGCAGUGUGUCUGUGUCUUGUUCCCUACCAUGUGUCCAUGUGUUCUUAUCAUUCAGCUCCCACUUAUAAGUGAGAACAUGUUGGUAUUUGGUUUUCUGUUUCUUUGUUAGUUUGCUAGGGAUAAUGGCCUCCAGCUCCAUCCAUGACCCUGCAAAGGACAUGAUCUCAUUCCUUUUUAUGGCUGCAUAGUAUUCUGUGGUGUAUACGAACCACAUUUUAUUUAUCCAGUCUGUUAUUGAUGGGAAUUGAGGUUGAUUCCAUGUCUUUGUUAUUGUGAAUAGUAGUGCUGCAAUGAACAUACACGGGCAUGUAUCUUUAUAAUAUAAUAAUUUAUAUUCCUCUGGGUAUAUACCCAGUAAUGGGAUUGCUGGGUCGAAUGGUAUUCCUGUGUUUAGGUCUUUGAGGAAUUGCCACACUGUCUUCCACAAUGGAUGAACUAAUUUACACUCCCACCGACAGUGUAUAAGCAUUCUUUUUUUUUCUCCACCAUCUCACCAGCAUCUGUUAUUUUUUGACUUUUUAAUAAUAGUCAUUCUGGCUGGUGUGAAAUGGUAUCUCAUUGUUGUUUUGAUUUGCAUUUCUUUAAAGAUCAGUGAUGCUGAGCUUUUUUCAUAUGAUUACAACAAAUGUUUUGAUACCUCUUUUUGAACCAAAGUUCCAGGGAGGGCCAGAGUAAGGAGAGUGUUAUUGCAGAACGAGAUAUAUUGGAAACAAUGGUUCUGAUCCCAUUCCCUCUUUGAAACCCUGAGAGACAACUGCUAAUGCUAUUGGCUCCAGUGUUCAGGGGAGUGAUAGCAUAAAAAGGGAGUAGAGAGGUGGCCACACGUGCUAGCUCUGUUGAGCUGCACUUAUCUCCAGUGGGAUAUCAAGGGACCCAGCAGUUCCUAAAAGCCUUUUCUGGUGGCAGAAAGGAGAGUAGCUAAGAAUUCUCUGGGGGUAGAAUUGCCAGGGACAGGGAAAGACAGGAGUCCUGGCACACCUGCACACUGAAUUGGGACCCAGUGGGCAAGGCAAGUCUUGAUCGAGCCAAAUAAAUAGAUCAUCAUUGUGUCAGCUGCUGGCUUGAGCAGUGGGCAGCAUAGAAUGACCACUCCCAACCAGGUACAACCCUGUCACUUGGACCUUCACAGAACCCAGGCCAGGGCAGAACCAGACCAGCCAGCCACUCUGCAGUAGAGAUCAGUGAAUACCAGAGUUGGCACCUGGAGUUGUAUCCCUUUUCCCUGCUACCGUUAAGUCAUCCUAGUAAUCCUCCUUGCAGAAGAGAAGUAGGGUGGAAGAUUUGACGAGGUGAAUGUGUACAUGAAAUACGCUGUGUUACCCCAAGGAUACUCUUAACUGGAAGGAAUUGAGAGCUCUUAAACGGCAGAGUUCAGGGUUUUGUUGUUUGUGUUGUUUCUUUUUUCUACUCUUGGUGGGUUGGGUGGGAAUUCUUAGGGAGAAGAUGUCAUCAGUUAGAAAUAAGAACUAAUUUUUCUCAGUACAUUGACUAGGGGGCCAGAAUACUUAUUUGCAACUCUAGUACCUAUCAAGUACCUCAUUUAAAUUUUUACCAAAAAAAUUUUUACCUGGGUGUCUAACAAAUGAGGACACUGAAAUUUAGUGAGAGUAAGUGAUUUUUCCUAUGGCCCUUCACUGAACCAGGUGGUGAAACCUAUAUCCAAAUAAAACUUGGAAUUUGGAGUCUUAAGCCCUAUAGUAUUAAUAUUUUGUUAACUGUUAGAUGAAGCAUUGCAACAGUAGGAAAUCCCUUUCUUAAGUUUUGGGGUGCUUUCAGGGUUAGCAUGGUAGGAGCAGAGAACCCAGAAAUGGUCUGUUCAGCUUAGAGUGAAUGUUCUGAGCUUGAGAUCCAUUGCUGAUGCGGCACUGCACUGUGGGGUUAUGAAUUGCUUCUGGCUUGGCAUCAAAGCGGAAAUGCGUGGGAAUGCACACUGGGUUGGCUGGGCUCCUGCCCUGGGUGAAUGUGGUGCAGAUGGUCCUACUGAGGAUGAAAAGCCCGGUGGAGAGAUGUUCAAUAGGUUAAUUGUGCACGUUCUUGGAUGAGUCAGCCUGUAAUUGCUGAUACCAAUAUGUUCGGCGUUGCUGCCUCAGGGGCUUGGUGUGUGAGUCAGAUGAUGGAAAUGAGGAUAAAGUUGGCCUUGUUUCCUGAAAUCUUAGAAACCGAAUAAUAAGUUUUUGAACUUGGUAUGUGAUCAAAAUCACUUUGGGAGAAAGAUGAAAAGACAGAAUGAAAAACUUGGCAUGCAGGUAAAAGCAGAAUUCAGGAACCAGGAAAACAAGAAGUGCUGUAAUGUAAUACAACCCUCUAUUCUGUUAUGACUCAGCAGAAUCACAAGAUUUGAGCUCUGGAGGUGUUUUCUGUCCAUCAAACAAACGAAGCCCACUCCACCAAGGUUGUAAUCAAUGCAUUCCUAGACUGCGAACUCUUUCAAUGUUGACUGCAGCUCUGCCAUCUACAUAACCUGAGGAAAGGAAGAGGACUAUGCGCAGACUGACAAGAGCAGUCCCAUUUGUAUUAAUACAAGGAAUGGUCAGUCCUCAUCUGGAAUGACUUAGGACUGAUAGAUGUGCAUUUACACCACUACAUUGAUUGGAGGAAAGAAAGGACAUUGAUUGGAAGGACCCACUGGCAUUGCGGAGGAAUGGCCUUACAAAAUGAGAUGGUCAUGACCAUCCCUGGAGAAUCUGACAUAUGGAGUGAAGACUGUAGAGAGGAUGUGCUGACUGCUCUAAGUGUCAUCAAUGAGGGUACACAGAAUAAAAGAAUGUCUGCCACUAGCACUACCCCUUGGGUGCUAUAGACCAAAGGUGGCAUCAUGACUAGAAUCCAAAUGGCAAGAGCCAAUUAAUAUGCCCACACACAGAACUUAAAACCAAGGGUUGGCAAUAGACCAUGCACAGUUCAGAGCCCUUAACUUGUACUCUGUUGGAGGUCAGUGAGAGUUGCCCUGAGACACCAUGAGACUGGUGACCCAGUAUCAUGGGAUCCCAUGAAAUAAAUACUGCUCAGGUCAGCAAAAGCAAUCUCCAUGCCAGGCCAUACUUCUGGAAAUGGAGGCCCAGAUGACCUCAUAGGUGAAACUCCUAGAGCUCUGCAUUGUAUCUGGUCAACCCCAUAUGCAUGGUAGAGGGCUUGAGAGCUCUCUUACGGGGACAAAUGGAGCUUCUGGGUUAUAUGGAUCCUGGUCUAGAUUUGGGGUCCCCUGCCUGGAUAGCACUGCCAGCCCUGGCCAGUUGUAGGUACUGGAAGGGUACAUAAAAAUUUUUAAGGAACCCUUUUCCUUCCUACCCUCCACAAGGCAGUACCCAAGGCAGGGGCUUUACCUGCUUGCAUCUAAUGGUGGUACUACUUAUUAUCAUUCUUGUUUUACAGAUGAGCAAACUGAGAUAGGAAGAAAUUAAGUAAUUUUUCCAAAGUUAAACUACUAGUAAGUAGCAAGAUAUACAAUCAUAGAAUCUAGUUCCUGUACUCAUAACCAAUAUACUACAUGGUCUCUGAAGUACUGUAGUAUAUAUGAAAGAACUUUUUGAGAAUGAAAAAUGUUAUUUCUCAAAUUUCAUAAAAUACAGAAGUGCUUCAAAAAAUGCAUUCUAGUUAUAAACGUAAAGAGCUGUGAAGGCCAAUUAUUACAUAUAAAAAUACCAUGAACCCCCACCAGUCAUUUAACCAAUUAAAAAUAAACACUGCAGGAAAUAUAUGGGGAGAAAGAUGUAGUAGGAAGAGAGUUCUGGCAGCAAAAACCAUGAGCUUUCAUGCAAGGCAGGAUACUCUGCUUUACUUAUGGCUGAGACCUUGAUCAAGAAGACUUAGAAUAAGACUGAAGACUGUGAUUUACAUGGUCAGAAAAGAGCUACAGAGCAGCUGGAUAUUGAUAUCAUUCUUCUUGCUUAAUGAGGGAGACGAAGAAUAAGUUAGAGGUUUUUAGAAACACAUCACAAAGGAAACUUCCAUGGUAGAAUCUGGCCUGAACUCAGCAACAGACCGACUGUGUCAAUUGAUCUAGAGGCAGUUUCAUGAAGUGUCAGAGUAGCAGCAACAAUUUGCUCCUAACAUUAGAGACCUCAUUCGUAUGCUUAAAAGAGCUACUGAUGAAGAAGUUGUGAUUCCGAUAGUGAUGGAGAAACUAAAUCUCACAUAAAUAAAAAUUAUAAGCCUUUGAAAAAAAUAUUUAAAAACUUUUUGAAGGCACUAAAAACAUAAAUGAAGUUAAAGGGAAUAUGAGCAGUAAAAGGAAGGAAAUGCAUAGAAUAAGUUCUACAUUUAUAACACUUUUCCAUAAAGGCUCUUUCCAGUCUACAUAAUGGGGAUGGCUAAAAUUUAUAUACAAAUCUACAGUCUUAUUGGCUUGAGGUAUCAGAGAACGCAAUUUGGGCUGUCAGAAAGGGUGAAAUUGAGAAAGAAGUCCUGAAAAGGGAGAAACAAAGGGAAAAAUCACAAAUUUGCACAUAAACUUUUCUCAAAUAUCUGUCUGCUACAAAAGCUACAUGUGUGCAAAGAAGACGACAAGGAGCACAGCAAAAAAGCACUGAUUGGAUGACUUCAAAAGCUAAGCAGACAUUUUAGCUAGUGUCCACCACAAGGAUUAUGGAGUUUGGAGUUUGAAUGCUGACAAGGUAGAAGGCCUUAAGUGUAAAGAUUAUGGUUCUAGGAUUGGGAUUAAGGGGAACAUUAAAAUAGAUCCUGACAUAGUUUGGAUCUGUGUCCAUGUUGAAUUGUAAUCCCCAGUGUUGCAGGUGGGGCCUGGUGGGAGGUGAUUGGAUUAUGGGGGUGGAUUUCUCUGUUGGUGCUGUUCUUGUGAUAGUGAGUGAGUGAGCUACCAUAGUAGCUUCAUUGCUUAUUGUGUUUUAUCCUGAUUCUCACAUCUGACUCUAGCCCUCUCAUGUUUUCACAGAACGUGCAACAUGGCACCUCCUAUUGCCAUGAAAGUAAGAGCAUGUCAGUUUAAAAUAAUCAUUUUAUCCCCAGAGUGAGCAUAGUGCCUGGCUUCUAAUAGUUAUUCAAUAAAUUAUCUCAAAACAAUUAAAUGAAUGAGUGUUUUGCCCUAGAUGUGUCUAAUCACUGCUCCCAUACAUUCUAUUCUAUGUCUAUUGCCUAGCCUACAUUCCCUCUACUUCUUUACACCUUAUUCAUCCUUUAUAGCCAGACUCAAGUGUUAACCCCUCUGUGAGUUUUUCCCAGAUGAUAAUUCUGGUCUCUCCCUUCUCUGAACAUAUAUUUAACUUUCAGUGAGAUCAUUACUCAUUACAGAGGUAGGAGGCAGGGCUGGACUCUGGAGGCGGGGCUUGGGCACUGGACCAGAUUAAAGACUAACUGAAACAGGGAAGAGGCAAAAGUGCCUCUUCAUAAGACACACCCACCAAUGCCAUGUCAGUUUGCUGUUGCCAUGGCAAAACCCAAAAUUUAUUGCUCCUUUAUCAUGGUAAUGGCCUGAUGAUCUGAAAGUUACCACCCUUUUUCUAGAAAUAUCUAGAAAUAUCUGCAUAAUCUGCUCCUUAAUUUGCAUGUAAUUAAAAGUGGGUAUAAAUAUGACAGCAGAACUGCCUCUGAGCUGCUAUUCUGGGCACACUGCCUAUGGAGUAUCCCUGUUCCACAAGGUUCAGUACCUCUGCUGCUGCUGUACAUGGCUGCUUCAAUAAAAGUUGCUGUUUAACACCAUGAGUUCACCCUUGCAUUCUUUUUUGGGUGAAGCCAAGAACCCUCCUGGGAUAGGCCAGCCUCAAUUUUGGGGUUUGCCUACCCUGCAUCAUCUAGCAACCACAAAGGGAUGAAGACAGCAAGUGGAGG
rnacentral:lncRNA from 10 species